UGGAAACUGAGGAACAGAGAGAUCACAUAUCUUGCACAAGGUCCUACAGUUGGAGAGAGAAUGACUAUUUCAACAAUGGCAAAUAGGGUUCAUCAUGUAUGCACACUCUGAUUGCUUUGUGGUGGCUUCCUGGAUCACUGGGUUGAAAAAGACCCAGGCUCUGUAGGAGGUGGUUGAUUAAUGAUGUCUGCCAUUCAGAACAAAGAUGUAGCAGCAGGUGUACCUCAUUUUUGCUGUCUCUGGACUAUUCCAUUGAAGCCUUUAGUUCCUGGAUUAUCCAAUUAGCCCUAGCUUUCCUGGCAGUGUGAUCUCCCUCUGCCUUAAUAUCAGCCCUCAGCCCUCGGGAUUCUUCUCUCUGAUAUCCACACUCAUUGCCUUUGCUUCUCUGUGCUCCCUAAAACACCGACUCUCCUCCCACAGCCCAACUGCACUUAGUCCUACCUCCAGUGUGAGACUGUCCACGGUCGCCCCCGACCUCACUCAUCUUGGAAUGAGUGUUAUGACGUGAGUCAGCAUUAAUGAACUAAUCUGAGAUGUAUCUCAACACCGUCAUAGUCCCUGAAGGUAGGAGUAAGUGGGGGGAAAUUCAUCCUUAGUCUCUGUCUCCCCCAGAGUCUAGCACAGAGCCUGGUGCAAUUUGGAUCCUCAACAAACAUCUAGAAAAUAAAUAAAUGAAAGAAUAAAUGGAUGGCAUUCUUUUGAUGUUUCACAUUUGUACAUCUCACUCACUCUUUGGGAGCAGGGAUGGUAUCAACAUAGCACCACUGUGAUGGACGAUAAUAGUUUCUUUAAAUCUGUGAGGACAGAAAUUGAGCUAAUAAAUCAUCUUUCACAGGGUGGUUAUGGAGAAAUCUGAAUGAGAUAGAGAAUAAUAAAUGCUUACAGCAGGAACUCAGUAAAUAUUUGACUGUUACUAAUAGUAACAAUAGCAAUAAUAAUGUCAC
rnacentral:lncRNA from 10 species